UAUACACAAUUACCAACAACAGUGUCGACAUAGCCGCCACUGUUUUAUCAUCAUCAUUCCAUUUCGAAUGUUUUGAAAAAUUGUCAAAUUCAAUUGAGACAUGUCAUAUGAACAAGGAAAGUGAUGUUCACUAAUCUCAAUUAAUGAUGAUGAUGAUGUUGAUGCAAAGCAAAAAAACCGAAACGAUCGACCGACCGACCUACCAAAAAACACCAAUCAAUCGACCGACAAGCGGAAAAUUUUUUUCAUUUAAUUCAAAAAAAAAAAAAAUUAGAUCAAAAUCAUUUUCUCUUAUUUAUCGAUCAUCAUCAUCAUAAUAAUUAUUAUUUGAAAAUGUUUUUCUGGAACAACAACAACAACGAUAACGAUAACGAUAACGAUUGAAUAAACAAAGCCGAAUGAUAAGGGGAAAUUUUUUUUUUUUCAAUGCUUCAAGCUAAUCGUGUUUCGGUGUAUGAUCACAAUGACAAUAAUAAAAAAAUGGAUGGACAAGCGGAAAAACAAAAAUUGAAUUAAAAUCCAAUAUAAACCCGAUAUAUGGUAUCGAUUACUUGACCGGAUCAAAGAUUUAUCUCUGUAUUGUAGGCAUCGUGUCGUGUUUCGUGAAUUAUAUGCAGAUGAUCGUGGCUGCCAUUCAAUGAUAAUGAUUAUAUUGAUCCAAAACGAUUAUCUCUGGAUAAUGAUAACAUUAAUCGUACAUACACACACACACACUCAUUGAUUGUAAAGGAUUGUAAAUUGGUCGAUUAUCACCAUCAUUAUCAUAUAUAAUUUGAUUUACCGGAUUUUUGGAUUACGGAACAUUUUUUCUUUGUUUUCUUUUAUUGAUCGAUAUUGUCUGAUUUAUAUAGGUUUCACAAAAACCUUGAAUUUGUUUGGUUCCAUUUUUUUUAUCGAUUCAAUUUUAUUCAUCGUUAUCGUCAUCGUCAUUAUUACAUGUGAAUGCGUUUUUAUAACAUGGCCGGUCCUAUCUAAUGGAUCGAUCGAUCAAUAUCAAGUUUCACCUUUUUUUUAUUGAUUCAAUAAUUUGUAAUAAUCUGUGGCAAAACAAGAAAAUCUUUAUUAUCAUCAAAUUUGUUUUUCACAUAUCUCUGAAAAUGAUUACCGUUUAAUUUCGUUUUUCAUCAUCAUCAUCA